UACGGGGGGGGCAAGCGUUGUUCGGAAUUACUGGGCGUAAAGGGCUCGUAGGCGGCCAACUAAGUCAGACGUGAAAUCCCUCGGCUUAACCGGGGAACUGCGUCUGAUACUGGAUGGCUUGAAUCCGGGAGAGGGAUGCGGAAUUCCAGGUGUAGCGGUGAAAUGCGUAGAUAUCUGGAGGAACACCUGUGGCGAAAGCGGCUCACUGGACCAUUACUGACGCUGAUGCUCGAAAGCUAGGGGAGCAAACAGG
rnacentral:rRNA from 1 species